rnacentral:rRNA from 1 species
AGUGAACGCUGGCGGUAGGCCUAACACAUGCAAGUCGAACGGCAGCACAGUAAGCGCUUGCUCUUACGGGUGGCGAGUGGCGGACGGGUGAGGCAUACAUCGGAUUCUUCUUUUUCGUGGGGGAUAACGUAGGGAAACUUACACUAAUACCGCAUACGUCCUACGGGUGAAAGCAGUGGAUCUUCGGACCUUGCGCGAUUGUUUUAGCCGAUGUCGGAUUAGCUAGUUGGCGGGGUAAAGGCCCACCAAGGCGACGAUCCGUAGCUGGUCUGAGAGGAUGAGCAGCCAAAAUGGAACUGAGAAAGGGUCCAGAAUACUAAGGGAGGGAGCAGGGGGGAAUAUUGGAGAAAGGGGGGAAGGCUGAACCAGGCAUAGCGCGGGGGGGAAGAAGGGCUUCGGGUUGGAAAGACCUUUUGAUGGGAAAGAAAAGCAGGAGGAUAAAACCACGCUGGUCUGACGGGAACCAAAGAAGAAGCACCGGCUAACUUCGUG